AAAUGUAAAUAAUUAUCAUGAAUGCAUGUUUAUUGGAGACUAUGAUAAUUUAAAUUAAUAUUUAUGUCUAAUAUAUUCCAAAGUAAUGUUGAUUUGUGUGGUAAUGAAACAUGGUGAAUACAAAAUGUAUUCUGGGAUAAAAUGUGUCCAUUAAACUGAAACCAAAGACAAAUGAGCUCUGACACAUUCCUGAUCAAUACUCUGAUAAAGUCAUUGAUCCAUUGAUAAACAGCAUCAUCAGAGUAAUCCAUAAGUCCCUGUUGGAGUCAGUCAGAGCAUUUCCAUAGAGAGACACUUUGCAUCAGCAGCACCAUCCUCCAGUGCUCUGGGAGAGUUUAUAGUCCUGAGAGUUGAACACUGGAUGACUGACAGCUGUCCUUCAUCACAACAGAAGACACAGAAAUCCUCCUCAUCAAAAACAUGACUUUGAUCUCCGUCCUCAUCUGGACUCUCCUCUGCUGCUGCUUCACAGAGUCCAGAGGACAGGUCACAGUGACUCAGCCUGGAGCAGUGAGCUCUGCUCUGGGAGGCUCCGUCUCCAUCUCAUGUAGGACCAGUCAGAGGGUUUAUAAUGGGGACUAUUUAGCCUGGUACCAACAGAGAGAUGGAGAAACUCCUAAACUGCUUAUUAAUAGAGCCACUUAUCGACAAUCAGGGAUUCCAGGUCGUUUUACAGGCAGUGGAUCAAACUCUGCCUUCACUCUGACCAUCAGUGGAGUCCAGACUGAAGAUGCAGCAGUUUACUACUGUCAGAGUCGUCAUGAUAUCAACAGUCAGUAUGUGUUCACACAGUGAAAAAGCGUCGUACAAAAACCUCCCUCAGUCAGACUGAACAGAAACUGAACUGACUGCUGCAGCUGGAAGCUACUGCAGAGACUGAUACACUUCACUGAACACACACACACACACACACACACACACA